GACGAACGCUGGCGGCGUGCCUAAUACAUGCAAGUAGAACGCUGAAGCGAGGAGCUUGCUCUUCUUGGAUGAGUUGCGAACGGGUGAGUAACGCGUAGGUAACCUGCCUUGUAGCGGGGGAUAACUAUUGGAAACGAUAGCUAAUACCGCAUAACAAUGGAUGACACAUGUCAUUUAUUUGAAAGGGGCAAUUGCUCCACUACAAGAUGGACCUGCGUUGUAUUAGCUAGUAGGUGAGGUAAUGGCUCACCUAGGCGACGAUACAUAGCCGACCUGAGAGGGUGAUCGGCCACACUGGGACUGAGACACGGCCCAGACUCCUACGGGAGGCAGCAGUAGGGAAUCUUCGGCAAUGGGGGCAACCCUGACCGAGCAACGCCGCGUGAGUGAAGAAGGGUUUCGGAUCGUAAAGCUCUGUUGUAAGUCAAGAACGGGUGUGAGAGUGGAAAGUUCACACUGUGACGGUAGCUGACCAGAAAGGGACGGCUAACUACGUG
rnacentral:rRNA from 1 species